rnacentral:rRNA from 1 species
UACGUAGGGUGCAAGCGUUGUCCGGAAUUAUUGGGCGUAAAGAGCUCGUAGGCGGCUUGUUACGUCGACUGUGAAAACCCGCGGCUCAACCGUGUGGUCUGCAGUCGAUACGGGCAGGCUAGAGUUCGGUAGGGGAGACUGGAAUUCCUGGUGUAGCGGUGAAAUGCGCAGAUAUCAGGAGGAACACCGGUGGCGAAGGCGGAUCUCUGGGCCAUUACUGACGCUGAGGAGCGAAAGCGUGGGGAGCGAACAGG